rnacentral:rRNA from 1 species
UACGAAGGGGGCUAGCGUUGCUCGGAAUCACUGGGCGUAAAGCGCACGUAGGCGGGUUCUUAAGUCAGGGGUGAAAUCCUGGAGCUCAACUCCAGAACUGCCUUUGAUACUGAGAAUCUUGAGUCCGGGAGAGGUGAGUGGAACUGCGAGUGUAGAGGUGAAAUUCGUAGAUAUUCGCAAGAACACCAGUGGCGAAGGCGGCUCACUGGCCCGGUACUGACGCUGAGGUGCGAAAGCGUGGGGAGCAAACAGG